CUUUCCAGUUGCAAUCUGCACCGCUGUUCCACUUGUUCCGCCCUCCAAAUACUCCUUCCUACCUACGGGGGCUUCGUGGUGCAGUGGUUAGCACACUCGGCUCACAACUGAGAGCCCGGGUUCAAUUCCCGGGCGGAGUUGAAAAAAAUGGGGGGCUUUUCCGAUACCCUACGCCCCUGUCCACCCAGCAGUGAAUGGGUACCAGGCCUUCUCAGGGACAACCAGGAGAAGACGAAGAUGAAAUUACAAAACCCAGAAGGCUGAAAGAGGAAGUCAGUCAGUCUACAGUCAUUACAAAACCCUGAAGACAAGACUGGAGGAGGAAGUCAGUCUAGUGUCAUCCCAAGAGGAGGCGGCCUGAGGUGCCAGCCAUCCACAGUCCACUCUUAUUCUCCCGUCCACUGAAGAAGGCACCAAGUAAGAGUUGCAAGGCAGAAGUGUGAGCUACAGAAAAAAGUGGCAAGAUGCAGUGUGGAGGGCCAGUUUCUCAAGAUGAGCCGGAGCAAGGCUGCCUCAAGCUGCUGUCCAAUCAGCGAAGAGAUCACCUCGGCAGCCCGGCAGGCCACAAUGGCAAUGUUCAGACUACAACAGCGUUCAGGGAAAACAAAACUACACACAUUUCGCGGCAGCCAUGGAGUCAUUAUUGAAACUGAAUGAUUAGCAUUAGUUUUACUAUGGAGAUAUACAUAUAUUACCACUGUAGUGAAAGACAGAGUAUGGAAGGAAAAUCACCAAAAUUUGAAGAAGCUUAGUAAAAUAAAUGUUUGCAAUAUACAAAAAAUCUACAAAAGGUGAAAAUGACAUCCUGAAACUAAGGUGAAGAUAUGAAAGCAAAAUACCUUGCCUGAAAAGGUGUGUAAAAACCUGCCUGGGUACACAAGUGCCUGAAAAGGUGUGUAAAAACCUGCCUGGGUACACAAGUGCCUGAAAAGGUGUGUAAAAACCUGCCUGGGUACACAAGUGCCUGAAAAGGUGUGUAAAAACCUGCCUGGGUACACAAGUGCCUGAAAAGGUGUGUAAAAACCUGCCUGGGUACACAAGUGCCUGAAAAGGUGUGUAAAAACCUGCCUGGGUACACGAGUGCAGAGUAACAGCCACACCCUGCAACACUCAGGAUGCAAGUAACUGCUGCACCAAUAAAUGCUCCCGACAACACUACGUAACACUAUAGUAUAACCGUAAGCCUUAGGAAAUAUAAAGGCGU